CCUACGGGAGGCAGCAGUGAGGAAUAUUGGUCAAUGGGCGCGCGCCUGAACCAGCCAAGUCGCGUGAGGGAAGACGGUCCUAUGGAUUGUAAACCUCUUUUGUCGGGGAGCAAAAGCCGCUACGCGUGGCGUUCCGAGAGUACCCGAAGAAAAAGCAUCGGCUAACCCCGUGCCCGCAGCCGCGGUCAUAAGGAGGAUGCGAGCGUUAUCCGGAUUUAUUGGGUUUAAGGGGUGCGCAGGCGGAAGAUCAAGUCAGCGGUAAAAUUGAGAGGCUCAACCUCGUCGAGCCGUUGAAACUGGUUUUCUUGAGUGAGCGAGAAGUAUGCGGAAUGCGUGGUGUAGCGGUGAAAUGCAUAGAUAUCACGCAGAACUCCGAUUGUGAAGGCAGCAUACCGGCGCUCAACUGACGCUCAUGCACGAAAGUGUGGGUAUCGAACAGGAUUAGAUACCCGGGUAGUC
rnacentral:rRNA from 1 species